ensembl:lncRNA
CAUCAUCCGAUGUGGUGGCAGCGCUCAUUAGCACUCACCAGGCUGGUUUUAAUAUAGUUAACGAACCUCUCCAUCAGAAGCAUUACUAAUUCUCACUCAGACAUCAGCACCAAGGGGCAGCAGUUGGGACCCAUUCAGUGCUUCAUCCCUCCAGCUUAGGGCUGUGCCCCACCAUGGCUGGGCAGAGAGAUGCUCCAUUUCCCAGCUGUGGGAUGGAGGGAGGUGGUCACGGAGGGGGAAAUGGGAGCGAUGGAGGUGGUGGGACAGAGGUUGGAUCUUGAGUUGGGUCUCAGCAAUCAGCCCCUGCUCUCAGCUAUCAGCUCAGCCAGUUGCUUAAUACCAUAUCAGAUCUUCAGGAGCUCAGCUUGAUUAAGAUAAGAAUGUGAUGAGGAAGACUCACUGCAUGAGAGCAGAAAAGCUUCAGUGUGAGAGCUUCAGGACUGCGCUUGGGGAUGAGACACCUCCAAAGGAGAUGGCACCCACUGAUGGAUGGAGCUCCAACCCCGACCUGCUCCUCGCUUCAUCCACGUCUUCUCACAAAUGCAAUACGGAUGGGAGGUUCUUUUGUGCAAUGUGAUGAGACAGCACGAAGCCAGGAGGAAAAAAAAGCCGGACGGAGGUGGAAAUGGGUUGGGUGUUAUUGCAGGGUUUGGGGUUUUGUUGUUUUGUUUUCUUUUCUUGUUAUAAAGAAACUCUUGGAAGGUUGAGCAGUCGGAAGGGGAAUGCUGAGCAGAGCCACCGUUGGGCUGCCCAAGUGGUCUGCUUGGGGUGGAAGCAAAGUGGGGGCACGUGGGCUGCUCCCAGUGCUCCCAGUGACACGGGCUGGUUUUGGCCAUCGGAAGUGAACAAGCUCUGUUCUAUUUUUACUGGCUUUCCUGUAGAUGCUCUUUAUAAAUAGGUACGUGCUGCACCAAAGGCGUCCCUCCCUGCCUCCUGCAAUGGGAGCCAUGUCCUCCCACCAGGCUGCAGCUCCCCAGCACUGGAAUGAAUGCCAAAAGGUGUUCGGUGUCUGGGGGUGAGGGCUGACCCCAUUUCCAUCCCUGUGAGCCUCGAAUAACCCAACGGUGCUCUCCUCCCAUUGCGGUGGAUGGAGCUCGGAGGGCUCUGUGCUCCGUGUCACAUCCAGCCCUGCAAAGCAGCUGUGAAGCGAUGGGUUUGCAGCCUUCCUGCAGCACUUAUUCUGGUCCUGAGGGCGCAAAGGGAUCGAACAAACAAACCUGCAGUGAUCCCAUAGGGGGGAGCAACCGUCUGCCUGCAGGGGGGUCGGGGCUGCAGACAGCCCAGCACCCCAUGAGAUGGGACCCAGCACCCUCAGCACCCCCUGUGGGCAGGAGGAGAGCUGAUUUCCUCUCGGGAAGCCCUGAUCCCAGAGGUGUUGAAUUUAGUUUCUUUUGGAACAUUAAACAGUAGCCCUUAAAAGUGGGGAUAGAAUGUAUCAGUACUAAAGUUAUUUUUCUUUCUCACCUCUGUGUUACCCAGAGAUUUUUUUAUGAGAUAGGUGUGUGUGCGCACCGUGGUUGUGCCUCAUCCGUUUUCAAUGAGCUCUGUGUUAAAGCGUCUCUCUGCUUGGGGUUGGAUGGGAUGGGAAGAGCAGAGCCCUUUUGCUGGGCUCUGAAGCAGUGAUGCCCCA